GCUGUAGCUCAGGGGUAGAGCAUCUGCUUUGCAUGCAGAAGGUCCCAGUUUCAAUCCCCGGCGUCUCCA